GAUGAACGCUGGCGGCGUGCCUAAUACAUGCAAGUCGAACGAACAGACGAGGAGCUUGCUCCUCUGACGUUAGCCGCGGGCGGGUGAGUAACACGUGGAUAACCUACCUAUAAGACUGGGAUAACUUCGGAAAACCGGCGCUAAUACCGGAUAAUAUAUUGCACCGCAUGGUUCAAUAGUAAAAGUCGGUUUUGCUGUCUCUUAUCGCUGGAUCCGGGCCGCAUUAGCUGGUUGGUAAGGUAAUGGCUUACCAAGGCGACUAUGCGUAGCCGAGCUGUUAGGCGGAUAGGCGACAUUGGAGGGGAGCCAGCGACCAGAGUCCUACGGGAGGCAGCAGUCGGGAAUCGUACGCAACGGGCGAAAGCCUUGCGGAGCAGCGCCGAGUGAGUGAUGACGGCCUCCGGAUCGUAAAGCCCUGUUACGAGGGAAGAACAGAUUUGUAAGUAACCAUGGCCGUCUUGACGGUACUUAAUAAGAAAGCCCCGGCUAACUACGUG
rnacentral:rRNA from 1 species